rnacentral:rRNA from 1 species
CCUACGGGCGGCAGCAGUGAGGAAUAUUGGUCAAUGGACGAGAGUCUGAACCAGCCUAGUAGCGUGAAGGAUGACUGCCCUAUGGGUUGUAAACUGCUUUUAUAAAAGAAUAAAACGAGGCACGUGUGCCUUUUUGCAUGUACUGUAUGAAUAAGGAUCGGCUAACUCCGUGCCAGCAGCCGCGGUAAUACGGAGGAUCCGAGCGUUAUCCGGAUUUAUUGGGUUUAAAGGGAGCGUAGGUGGGUGGUUAAGUCAGUUGUGAAAGUUUGCGGCUCAACCGUAAAAUUGCAAUUGAUACUGGCAGGCUGGAGAACAGUUGAGGUAGGCGGAAUGCGUGGUGUAGCGGUGAAAUGCUUGGAUAUCACGAAGAACCCCGAUUGCGAAGGCAGCUUACUAAACUGUGACUGACAUUGAUGCUCGAAAGUGUGGGUAUCAAACAGGAUUAGAUACCCCUGUAGUC